UACAGAGGCCUCAAGCGUUGUUCGGAAUCACUGGGCGUAAAGGGUGCGUAGGCCGCACGGUAAGUCAGAUGUGAAAUCUCAGGGCUCAACUCUGAAAUUGCAUCCGAUACUGCCGUGCUUGAGGACUGGAGAGGAGUCUGGAAUUCAUGGUGGAGCAGUGAAAUGCGUAGAUAUCAUGAGGAACGCUAGUGGCGUAGGCGAGACUCUGGACAGUUCCUGACGCUGAGGCACGAAGGCCAGGGGAGCAAACGGG
rnacentral:rRNA from 1 species